rfam:Lupinus angustifolius cultivar Tanjil chromosome LG01, whole genome shotgun sequence.
GUUGAUUGGAAUGUUGUCUGGUACAAGUUCAUAAAUAAAUGAUUAUUGCUCAAAUUCCAUAAAGCUUUAUUAUUUUCUAGGGUUUCAUUUUUUUUGUACCCUUGAAACAAAGAAAGUAAUCAGAUUUUGAUGCUAGUCUUCUAUGUGACCUCGGACCAGGCUUCAUUUCAGUCAAC